CUCCUGAGGAGAAAGAAAGAGAGGGAGGGAGAGAAAAAGAGAGAGAGAGAAACAAAAAACCAAAGAGAGAGAAAAAAUGAAUUCAUCUAAAUCAUCUGAAACACAAUGCACAGAGAGAGGAUGCUUCUCUUCCCAAAUGUUCUUAUGGACUGUUGCUGGGAUCCCCAUCCUAUUUCUCAGUGCCUGUUUCAUCACCAGAUGUGUUGUGACAUUUCGCAUCUUUCAAACCUGUGAUGAGAAAAAGUUUCAGCUACCUGAGAAUUUCACAGAGCUCUCCUGCUACAAUUAUGGAUCAGGUAUAAUAGUCCCAAAGGUGAACAUCAAAAUUUACAAAGCAACAUUUUCUGGCUUCUAGAUUGACUUUGGGACAGCUCGUGUCCUCUGUCUCUUGCCUCAGCGCCUGGGUGGCUUGCCGCCCACAUCUAACCCAUCUAUAUACUACAGUAUGGAGAUUUGAUUGAGGAUACAUUGUUUAGGUUCAGUCAAGAAUUGUUGUCCAUUGAACUGGGAAUAUUUUCAAUCCAGCUGCUACUUCUUUUCUACUGACACCAUUUCCUGGGCGUUAAGUUUAAAGAACUGCUCAGCCAUGGGGGCUCACCUGGUGGUUAUCAACUCACAGGAGGAGCAGGAAUUCCUUUCCUACAAGAAACCUAAAAUGAGAGAGUUUUUUAUUGGACUGUCAGACCAGGUUGUCGAGGGUCAGUGGCAAUGGGUGGACGGCACACCUUUGACAAAGUCUCUGAGCUUCUGGGAUGUAGGGGAGCCCAACAACAUAGCUACCCUGGAGGACUGUGCCACCAUGAGAGACUCUUCAAACCCAAGGCAAAAUUGGAAUGAUGUAACCUGUUUCCUCAAUUAUUUUCGGAUUUGUGAAAUGGUAGGAAUAAAUCCUUUGAACAAAGGAAAAUCUCUUUAAGAACAGAAGGCACAACUCAAAUGUGUAAAGAAGGAAGAGCAAGAACAUGGCCACACCCACCGCCCCACACGAGAAAUUUGUGCGCUGAACUUCAAAGGACUUCAUAAGUAUUUGUUACUCUGAUAUAAA
rnacentral:lncRNA from 10 species